UACGUAGGGGGCAAGCGCUAUCCGGAUUUACUGGGUGUAAAGGGAGCGUAGACGGCAGUGCAAGUCUGGAGUGAAAGGUGGGGGCUCAACCCCCGGACUGCUCUGGAAACUGUACGGCUGGAGUGCAGGAGAGGUAAGUGGAAUUCCUAGUGUAGCGGUGAAAUGCGUAGAUAUUAGGAGGAACACCAGUGGCGAAGGCGGCUUACUGGACUGUAACUGACGUUGAGGCUCGAAAGCGUGGGGAGCAAACAGG
rnacentral:rRNA from 1 species